rnacentral:misc_RNA from 1 species
GUAUUGAUUGCGUGUGAUCGCAAAAGUAAGACAUUCUACACAUUUCAUUAAAAGGGUGUCUAUGUAAAAACGUGAGCACCCCCCUCCUCCUCCGAGGAAGGAGACCCACGCGGUGAUGCACAAAGGGGUGAGAUGGAUAUUUGUAUGUGAGAGCACUCGGGCGUGCACGACAAAAGUCAGCGACAGCCCUCGUACCCCCAUCGUACGAUAAUGAUCCUUCCGCAGGUUCACCUACGGAAA